GGCAUAUAUUAAUUCUGUAAAUAUUUACUAACUGCAGCAUGCACUGAUUUUUUUCUUUUCAAUGUUCCCCCCAAUUUAAGAAAAACCUGUUGCCUUUCAUGACAUUUUAAGAAGCAGCACAGAGGGACCUGUUAUGCACUUCACCCUCUUCCCAGUGCUAGGAUGUGAGGAACUGUCCGAUGUGAUCACAGCAGGACAUGCCAUGGCUUCUAAGCAGCGAUUCAAGCAUCUGAAGGAUAAAAAUGCUCUGUUACAAGUUGGAACAUCUAGACCUGAG
rnacentral:sRNA from 1 species